AGGCCACACUUCCUGCUGCAGGCUGACAGAGCUCCUUGGACAGCCCUGCAUUCGUCUGCGCCCAGCACAGCUGUCCCCUACUUCCCUGAUAAGGAUUUUGGUAAAUCUGUAAAGACCGACUCCUGAUAUUGAACCUACUUCAGCUGAGGAAGAGAAAAGGUUGAGUGAAGGGCCCAUGGACAUGAGGAUAUACUAUAUCCUCAGAGUGCGGUCCUCUGUUAAACAGCUUCUAGCCCAGCUGCAGUGUCCUCAAAGCAGUCCCUGUCUCCGGAGGGCAUCUGCUCAGAUGACAGGCUGCUAAAGAUUUACAGUCAGUUGUCCCCACGAGGAACCAAGCUACCCAGAGAGAACAGGUCUGGAGAACCAGAUUCUUUUGGGAAUUGGGGACACCAGGGUCUCAGUACAAGUUUUAGGCAAGGACUCUGCCCCUGAACUUUAUUCCCUCAUCCAGGAUCUGAAUGCUCUGAGACUUCUGAACACAAGAGCCAUCCUUCAAAUGCUAACUUCUCCAGGAAGUGGUCAGUCACACACUCUACCAACAGCCCAGAUCUCUCCAGAGCUGCCGACUGCAGUCAACGCCCCAAGGGCUGGGUGCCUGGCACUUCAGUGGAGGUCACUGUGCGCCACCCUCUCACCUGGCACUAACUUGUCACUUUGCACUUCCUCAGGCACUGGCCCCAUGGGGCUGCCUAAGCCCAGUGUUUGGGGCCCCCCUUGAGCACUUUCCCUUUCCCCUCUCCCCCUGGGCCACACGCGAUGCUGGUUAUGGUGUCCCCGAUGACCCCGUGUCUCCCACACCCUUCCUCCUUAACUCCAUCCACUUUCCCCUCCGUAUCUGAAAAAGCCUUGGGAUUUGCUGUUUUAUUUUUGAUUGUUUUGAGUCAAAGUCCCACUUGUGUAGCCCAGGCUGGUCUGAAACUUACCGGAUCCACAUGGUGUGACACCAUGGUGAGCUAUAACAGACUUUUGGUCUUUAUUCUUGUCACCUCUACAUUGCUUCCACACUGCAGUCAGAAGAAGCCCCUGAAACAUGAGUCUAAUGGCACUGCUUAGCAGUGCAAACGUUAUUAACAACACUGCUUUUAAAAAUACUUUUGUCUUGGUUACUUUUCUCUUGCUGUGAUAAGACACCAAGACCAAGGCAACUUAAGAAGACAGCGUUUACUGGUGGUUCAGUUUCAGAGGGCUCGGUUCCACGCCCAUCUUGGCCAGGAGCACGGCAGCAGGCAGACAGGCCUGGUGCUAGAUCAGUAACUAAGAGUAUAUUUAGAGCCACAGUAGGAGGCAGAGAGUUAAGUGUAAAUUGUCUGGGCUCUUGGAACCUCCAAGUCUGCCCCUAUUGGCAAAUGUCCUUAAACAAAACCAUGCCAUCUAAUCCUUCUCUCCAACUGCUCCAAUAACUGGGGACCCAGGAUUCAAAUACAUCAGCCUAUGGGGGCCAUUCUCAUUCAAACCUCUAAAACCCCAAAUGAGCCUAAAAUAAAAAUAAGAUAAACUUAAAAACCAUCGUGGAAAUAAACAUUCAAUAGCCUGGGGGUGGGAGCUAGGGACUGAAAAGCCACAUGAAAAUAAAUCAAUAUGUAUAAGUGUAAUAUAAACCUAUAGUAAUUAGUCAAACAGUGUGGCACUGGUACAGGGGUAGACACAUCAACGAAGAGGAAGCCAGGGGUGGCCCAUGCCUGCAACUCAAGCACUGCACCACUGUGCGACAGUCCCACACCCCACAUGUUUUUAAAUUUGCAUGAAAAAAAAUCCCAUCAUAAAAAUCUAAUAAAUAGCAAACUGUGAAAAUACUUGCAACUCAAAUCACAGAAAACUGGCCACAUUUUCUAAAACAUAACAACUCAACCACCAAAAUUAAGGGUAAAAGAUGUGUCGUGCAGCUAAAGAUAGUACAAAACCACAGGCGGGGGUUGGGGGGGAGGUGCAUUUAUAAAAGAAAAGCGAAUGAAAACUACACAGAAGAUCUGGAGAGAUGGCUCAGAGGGCAAAGCACAAGAGAUCAGAUCCCCAGCGCCUACGUGCAAUGCUGGCAUGAUGUAGGCAUCUGCAGCCCCAACUCUCAGGAAAUCACACAGGGGGAUCCCUGACAUCUGCUGGCUAGCCAGCCUAGCACUCUAGAGAGAAAGAGCCUGCCUCAAAACACACACACACACACACACACACACACACACACACACACACACACACAGGCAAAUGAACAAAACCAGAGGGGCUGGCAAGGUGGCUCAGUGGGCUAGGGGGCCUGGUAUACGCAGCUGCAAAUAACCAAAGACCCUGCCUCAAACACGGUAAGGACUGAUCUCCAAGGCUGUCUCCGACCUCACCCUGUUAUACAGUACACACUGGUGUACCUGUACUCACAUACUUGAACACAUAUGCACGUACACAAUACACACACAUACAAGUGCAUGUUUCAAAAAAAAAGAUUUUUAAAAAACACAAGGUUGAUGGCUCCUGAGAAACCACACCUACGGGUGACCUUAGGCUUCCAUGCAACUGUGCACCUGCACACACUUAGCAUCGCUACACACAAGCAUCUCUCUCUCUCUCUCUCUCUCUCUCUCUCUCUCUCUCUCUCUCUCUCUCAUGGACACACAUCCUACAUACAGGCAUUUUACAAGCUUAAGAAAGAUUAGCAAAGAUCACAAAUUUUGGCGAAACCUUGGGCCUGAUUUGGGUAGCCAGGCUCUCUGACAGAACAGACAUGGGUAUAAACUGGUAGACAUUCUAGAGAGGAUGACCUGACAAAAUACAACGUAAAAUUACAACUGUUCCAGAAACUCGCUUCUAGAAAGUGUUCUUGCAGCUAUACCUGUCUGUAUAAAACUGUAUGUGUAUAAUAAAAUAAAUUGUGCGAUGUUCAUGUAAUAG
ensembl:antisense Gm15880 predicted gene 15880